rfam:Williamsia sp. Leaf354 contig_3, whole genome shotgun sequence.
UCGCCUCGGCGAGUUCAGGCCUCUGCCCGAGAUGUCCCUGGCGCACUUCCCCAGCGCCAGGUCCGUCAUCGGGCAGGGACCCGUACUCACCGCAACGACCUC